ensembl:lncRNA
AUUCAUUUUAACUAGCCAGAGGAGUUCUGAGGAAAAAAACUGUACCUCUGUUGGCACAGUGGGUAGAAAGCUGUUGACUGCCUAACUAUUUGUUCUCAGACAGAAUGUCUGGUGGCUGUUCAUGCAUUGUUCAGGAAGAGAAUUCCUUCUGAGGCUUUCCAGUUCCUUUCCAGCCAGCAUUCUUCACUUGAAAGGAGAGCCGUAAAGGGGGUCCGAAUUUCACAGAAGCUACCAGAGACUUCAUCCAGGAGGAUGCACAGGAAAUGAGUGCAUAGGCUGUGUCUCCGGCAUUACAACAGAACCCGGCUGGACAUGAGCAGAUGACAGAGAGAAGUCUUAAUGAGCCUUUCUUAUGGCUGUGAGAGCAUCCACCAUUAGAUUCAGUACCACCAAAAAAAAACCACAAAUGAAGGUGAUGAUGAUCCUCACUGAUGCUGCUCCUGAAGUCAGAGCAUCCUCCACUUGGGCUGCAAGAUGGAUGGGUCUGCUUCCUUCUAAGACUGAGGCAAUUUGAAUCCUCAUCCCUUAAUAAUUAAGAUGCCAGGCUGGAUGGGGCAAUCUGAUCUAGUGUGUGAUGGAGCAGCUGGUAACCCUGCCUGUGGCAGGGAAGUUGGAGCUAGAUGAUCUUUGAGGUUCCUUCCAAUGCAGAUCUACGAUUCUAUCAUGGUAGAAAGCUUCGUCACCAUUAGAGGAAGGUAUUUGGUGAAGGUGGGAUAUCAGAGCCAGUAAGGCCAAUCAACAAGGUCAGAGGAUUUACUUCUUUAAUAUUCCUCAUAAAUGUCAUUCUCCCACCUUCUGUUUGACCCCUUUCACACUCUCUUACCCCAAGGAAAGCAGACAAAGCUUCAGGGCAAGAUGAGAAAGUUCUUGGCUGGAAGAACCUGUUAAUGCAUAUUCCAACAGAAUGGAAAAUGUGGGCUGAAAUUUCAUCAGGUUUACAACAUCCUCAGUGCUUAUCCUAAACAGUAGGCUAUGGUAGAGACAGACUAUGAGCAUGUUUUGAAAGAAAGAACAAUGUCUUUGUUCCAUCAGUUUUGAAAGAAUUCAAACAGAUAACUCUUACAAGACAUUUAAGAACUUUUAAUUCUCAAGAGAAACUGCUGGGGGGGGAAAAAAAAAGGAAAAAAAAAACCCUAGAUCUGAAGUGGGAUAUAGGCUAAACUCACCCUAUUCUUAAGUGCCUGUGCUGAGGCUCUUGAUUCCCCUGAGUGAGGAGUGGUAAUGCCCACCUGUAUGCCUGGAUUGAUCCACUGUACCAGUGCCAAGCUGGAGCGACAAGCAGUGUUCAGAGCUCUCAGGCUUUCUUCUCACAAUGACACAACUCAGCAGCUGGGUAUCAUUUUACAAGCUCAGUGCACUGAUCAGAUUCACAAAUGCAGACGGAGGUAUACUUCUAUGAAUAGCCCCUUAACUUCAGUGCAGCUCUUGCUGGACUGGCACUCUAAUGCAACACUAUCUUCUGCUAUUCCUAUUUGUCAAAUGGCAAAAUGAAAGUAUUAAUAGCUGUUGUACCAGGAGUCAGUAACAAAGACCUAUGCUAGACAUCAAGAUUUCUCCUGACCUCCCAGUUUUCUAAUCCCUCUGUAUCAUUGAAUGGGCAAAUAAAGUGUAAAAAUAAAUGUUUGUGACUAUUUGGUAGCUGAUAUUUUGACUAAGAAAAUUAGAUCUGCUUGCUUACUGGUACCUGUUCAAUGAGGUGUCUGCUCAACAAACAUGAAAUGGACUGUUCAUCUGUUGCAAAUCCAUAUUAGUUAUCAGACACGAUGGGCUACUAAGAAAAAUUAAUCAUCUAUAAACUUGAUCGUCUACUCCUUGAAACAGCUGCUAUUUCUCCCAGAGAUUUGAUUACAGUAACCUUUUGCUGCAAUUUCCUCUUUAAUUUAUCCUACUGUAUUUGAUUAAAACAAUGUAUUGCCCUGACCUCUGGAAUCUUUCAUUUUUGUUGUUUUCAAUGCAACAGAGGUGUCAGAAUUAAACAAUUUCAUAGUUU